AGUGAACGCUGGCGGCAGGCCUAACACAUGCAAGUCGAGCGGCAGCGCGGGGGCAACCCUGGCGGCGAGCGGCGGACGGGUGAGGAAUUCGUCGGAAUCUGCCUUUUUGGGGGGAUAACGUAAGGAAACUUACGCUAAUACCCCCUACGUUCCUCGGGAGGAAGGGGGGGGCCGCAAGGCCCCACGCAGAAAGACGAACCGACGACCGAUUAGCCAGUUGGUGGGGUAAAGGCCCACCAAGGCGACGAUCGGUAGCUGGUCUGAGAGGAUGAUCAGCCACACUGGGACUGAGACACGGCCCAGACUCCUACGGGAGGCAGCAGUGGGGAAUAUUGGACAAUGGGCGCAAGCCUGAUCCAGCCAUGCCGCGUGUGUGAAGAAGGCCUUCGGGUUGUAAAGCACUUUUGUCCGGAAAGAAAUCCCUGGAGCUAAUACCUUCGGGGGAUGACGGUACCGGAAGAAUAAGCACCGGCUAACUUCGUG
rnacentral:rRNA from 1 species